rnacentral:rRNA from 1 species
ACGAACGCUGGCGGCGUGCUUAACACCUGCAAGUCGCACGGAAAGGCCCUGCUUGCAGGGUACUCGAGUGGCGAACGGGUGAGUAACACGUGGGUGAUCUGCCCUGCACUUCGGGAUAAGCCUGGGAAACUGGGUCUAAUACCGGAUAGGAGCCAUUUUUAGUGUGAUGGUUGGAAAGUUUUUUCGGUGUAGGAUGAGCUCGCGGCCUAUCAGCUUGUUGGUGGGGUAAUGGCCUACCAAGGCGGCGACGGGUAGCCGGCCUGAGAGGGUGGACGGCCACAUUGGGACUGAGAUACGGCCCAGACUCCUACGGGAGGCAGCAGUGGGGAAUAUUGCACAAUGGGCGCAAGCCUGAUGCAGCGACGCCGCGUGGGGGAUGACGGCCUUCGGGUUGUAAACUCCUUUCGCUAGGGACGAAGCUUUUUGUGACGGUACCUAGAUAAGAAGCACCGGCUAACUACGUG